CCAUCUUGCCCACCUCUCGGCCCACAUCCACAAUUCCUUCCACCGACUCUUGUUCAGCAAUUUAUUCUGCAUGAAGUUUGUAUAUAUAUUGCAUAUGAUUCCUAAAAACACAAACCCUACCUGCCGACUCAUGUAACCCGCUUCCCCUCACCGAAACUCUACGACAACCACUGCCACUUCCUUCUCCGGCGUGUACAAAACCCCGACGACACCGGCGCUCCCCGUUCCACCUCCGGUGGCUCACGAUACUACGACUCGAAACUCCGCUUAUUUCUCUUCUUAUCGCACGUCCCGAUACGGCAUCAACGUCAGGAACUAAUUGAUUAACUUGGAACACGUAUUUUAAUCUUACCGAGCAAAACCAAGGUAAUUACUGAAGGGACUUGGGAGCUUGCUGUCUGAUGCUGCUGGAGUGGUU